rnacentral:rRNA from 1 species
UACGGAGGAUGCAAGCGUUAUCCGGAAUGAUUGGGCGUAAAGCGUCCGCAGGUGGCAGUUCAAGUCUGCUGUCAAAGACCGGGGCUUAACUUCGGAAAGGCAGUGGAAACUGAACAGCUAGAGUAUGGUAGGGGCAGAGGGAAUUCCUGGUGUAGCGGUGAAAUGCGUAGAGGUCAGGAAGAACAUCGGUGGCGAAGGCGCUCUGCUGGACCAUAACUGACACUCAGGGACGAAAGCUAGGGGAGCGAAUGGG